CUUAUUCCAUUCUUUGGUUGUAGGGCAAAAUAGAUCUUUCACUAAUAGGUUUUGGGAUUCUUUUGUUGGUGGUCCUACUAGAGCGGUAGGGGUUGAGAGGGAUAUCCAUGGGUUCGACCAGAUUUGCGUAUUCUCUCCAGUUCCAAUUGCCACUCCCAGUUGUGCUUUCAGUAAGUCUCUUCCGAUACACACUCCUCUCCACCCAUGGGAAGCAGUAGAGGCUACUUUGCAUUCCAAAAACGGUAUGGUGGAACAAUAUUUUCCCAAGAGGAUCCGUGACAAUAGGCAGGAGGGGUUGUUAAGUAUUCGCCAACUCACCUUUGCAAGAAGGGCGUUAUUAAAGCUGAUGAGUCCCACCAGAAACGAGUUAACGCAGACUGUAUUCGUUUGCACAGUGAUCCUGGGAGCUUAAAACAAGACAUCGUGUAAGUUGGCAUAGCAGACAGCACAAAUUUAAGCAUGAUAGCUUUCCCAGCCGUAGAUAGGAACCAUGAGGAAGAACUGCGAGCUUUCUGGUUUAUCCGGUCUAUGAUUUGAUUGAACAAGUCUCUCUUCUUUCUCCCAAACAUCUUUGGUAAGCCUAAGUAUUUCCCAAGGCCUCCAACAUGUUGGAUCCCGAGAAUGUCUUGUGCCAUAGUCUUUAUAUGAUCCUCUGUUUUUGAAGAGAAAGUGAUAGCUGAUUUGGCUUUGUUUAUCAUUUGUCCUGAUGUUGUUUCAUACUUUUUGAGGAUUUUCAGUAGUGUGUGGCAGCUUUGUGUAUCUGAUCUGCAGAAGAACAUUGUGUCAUCUGCGAAUAAGAGGUGAUUGAGUCGAGGACUCUCGUGUGCAACUCUGAUACCAAGUGAGCAGAGGAGAAGAAAGACUGUACCUCAAUGAUAAUAUGAGGACCAACUGUUUCCCAGUUUGACUAGAAGAAACUUGCCAAAAAACCAUCGGGGCCUGGUGCUUUAUCAGCGUGGAUAGAAAAGCAUGCCCUCUUAAUCUCCGCAGGUGAUGGCUGCAUUAUAAGUUUCUGAUUCGUCUCUUCAGUGAUGCAGGGGGAAAUGGCCUCCUCUAUGAUUUUCUUUCUUUCUCCAUCUUGAGAGGUGAACAGGUCUGUAAAAUAUUCAGAUAUGACCUUGAGGAUGUCCUUUUCUUCAAAAAUUGGUUCCCCACUACUGUUUUCCACUACUGAGAAUUUUUUUACUGUUGCUCAUCCCCUAGUAAUAGAGUGGAAAUAGCUCGUGUUUUUGUCUCCUAGUCCUAGCCAUAGCUGUCGACUUCUCUGUUUCCAGAACUCCUCCUCAGCUUUAUAGGCUAAUAAUAGGUGGUUGUUAAGAGAUAAGAUCAAGUUAUGAUCCGGAUCCUGACUUGACAUUGCCUCAUCUAGCUUUUCUUUGCAUUCCUCAAUAAGCAUCUUACUGUUUUGGUACUUCUUCCUUGUCCAGGUUAUAAUCUCUGUUCGGCAUCGUUUAAUAUUUUCCUCCACUAUUUCUUCGGGAUCACAGUUCCACGCGUCUGUUACAAGGUUUUUUACUUCUUCAUUUUCUUUUAGUCGCUUGUCAAACCUGAAAAUUCCUUUUUUCUUUUUCUUUGUUAGGUCCAAGUGGGUUAGCAGGGGUCUAUGGUGUGAUCCUUCAUACUUCAUAUAUUCACAUCUGCUGGAUGGAUAGCUCUCAGCCCACAAGGAUAGAAAAUUACCAGAGUAUCUUAGGUCGAAAAGGUCGCAUUCAGCCAUGAAGGUUUUGAUAUACACAAAGGAGCCUUCAUAUCUUGGUGGGCCACCUUGUUUUUCGGAAGCAUCGAUGAUAUCAUUGAAGUCGCCAGUAAGGAACCAAGGUUCCCCAUACAAAAAGGUUGCGAAGAAAAACUUCCCUUCUGCUUUGACUUGAGUGUCAAUGAAGUUAGGGCAACUAUACAGUAUUGAUAGCUCAAUCUCCGGUUUCCAGAAUAAUGCAAGACCACCACCUCCAGGACUAUGUGGUGGAACUAGGUGAAUACCAGGAUACUGUAACCAAUUUAGGGAUUUUUUAACGUUUUCAUCAGUAUUCUUUGUUUCCAUGAUGAAAAUGAUUUCAUGAGAGAUCUUCGAAUAGAUCUCAUGGAGCC